AAUACGGAGGAUGCGAGCGUUAUCCGGAUUUAUUGGGUUUAAAGGGUGCGUAGGUGGUGAUUUAAGUCAGCGGUGAAAGUUUGUGGCUCAACCAUAAAAUUGCCGUUGAAACUGGGUUACUUGAGUGUGUUUGAGGUAGGCGGAAUGCGUGGUGUAGCGGUGAAAUGCAUAGAUAUCACGCAGAACUCCGAUUGCGAAGGCAGCUUACUAAACCAUAACUGACACUGAAGCACGAAAGCGUGGGGAUCAAACAGGAUUAGAUACCCUGGUAGUCCACGCAGUAAACGAUGAUUACUAGGAGUUUGCGAUACAAUGUAAGCUCUACAGCGAAAGCGUUAAGUAAUCCACCUGGGGAGUACGCCGGCAACGGUGAAACUCAAAGGAAUUGACGGGGGCCCGCACAAGCGGAGGAACAUGUGGUUUAAUUCGAUGAUACGCGAGGAACCUUACCCGGGCUUAAAUUGCAGAUGAAUUACGGUGAAAGCCGUAAGCCGCAAGGCAUCUGUGAAGGUGCUGCAUGGUUGUCGUCAGCUCGUGCCGUGAGGUGUCGGCUUAAGUGCCAUAACGAGCGCAACCCUUAUCACUAGUUACUAACAGGUGAAGCUGAGGACUCUGGUGAGACUGCCAGCGUAAGCUGUGAGGAAGGUGGGGAUGACGUCAAAUCAGCACGGCCCUUACAUCCGGGGCGACACACGUGUUACAAUGGCAUGGACAAAGGGCAGCUACCUGGCGACAGGAUGCUAAUCUCCAAACCAUGUCUCAGUUCGGAUCGGAGUCUGCAACUCGACUCCGUGAAGCUGGAUUCGCUAGUAAUCGCGCAUCAGCCAUGGCGCGGUGAAUACGUU
rnacentral:rRNA from 1 species